rnacentral:rRNA from 1 species
GAUGAACGCUGGCGGCGUGCCUAAUACAUGCAAGUAGAACGCUGAAGGAGGAGCUUGCUCUUCUGGAUGAGUUGCGAACGGGUGAGUAACGCGUAGGUAACCUGCCUGGUAGCGGGGGAUAACUAUUGGAAACGAUAGCUAAUACCGCAUGACAACAGUUAUUGCAUGAUAACUGUUUAAAAGGGGCAACUGCUCCACUACCAGAUGGACCUGCGUUGUAUUAGCUAGUUGGUGAGGUAACGGCUCACCAAGGCGACGAUACAUAGCCGACCUGAGAGGGGGAUCGGCCACACUGGGACUGAGACACGGCCCAGACUCCUACGGGAGGCAGCCGUAGGGAAUCUUCGGCAAUGGACGGAAGUCUGACCGAGCAACGCCGCGUGAGUGAAGAAGGUUUUCGGAUCGUAAAGCUCUGUUGUAAGAGAAGAACGAGUGUGAGAGUGGAAAGUUCACACUGUGACGGUAUCUUACCAGAAAGGGACGGCUAACUACGUG